rnacentral:rRNA from 1 species
UGCAGUCGAGCGGUAGCACAGAGAGCUUGCUCUCGGGUGACGAGCGGCGGACGGGUGAGUAAUGUCUGGGAAACUGCCUGAUGGAGGGGGAUAACUACUGGAAACGGUAGCUAAUACCGCAUAAUGUCGCAAGACCAAAGUGGGGGACCUUCGGGCCUCAUGCCAUCAGAUGUGCCCAGAUGGGAUUAGCUAGUAGGUGGGGUAACGGCUCACCUAGGCGACGAUCCCUAGCUGGUCUGAGAGGAUGACCAGCCACACUGGAACUGAGACACGGUCCAGACUCCUACGGGAGGCAGCAGUGGGGAAUAUUGCACAAUGGGCGCAAGCCUGAUGCAGCCAUGCCGCGUGUGUGAAGAAGGCCUUCGGGUUGUAAAGCACUUUCAGCGGGGAGGAAGGCGUUAAGGUUAAUAACCUUGGCGAUUGACGUUACCCGCAGAAGAAGCACCGGCUAACUCCGUGCCAGCAGCCGCGGUAAUACGGAGGGUGCAAGCGUUAAUCGGAAUUACUGGGCGUAAAGCGCACGCAGGCGGUCUGUCAAGUCGGAUGUGAAAUCCCCGGGCUCAACCUGGGAACUGCAUUCGAAACUGGCAGGCUAGAGUCUUGUAGAGGGGGGUAGAAUUCCAGGUGUAGCGGUGAAAUGCGUAGAGAUCUGGAGGAAUACCGGUGGCGAAGGCGGCCCCCUGGACAAAGACUGACGCUCAGGUGCGAAAGCGUGGGGAGCAAACAGGAUUAGAUACCCUGGUAGUCCACGCCGUAAACGAUGUCGAUUUGGAGGUUGUGCCCUUGAGGCGUGGCUUCCGGAGCUAACGCGUUAAAUCGACCGCCUGGGGAGUACGGCCGCAAGGUUAAAACUCAAAUGAAUUGACGGGGGCCCGCACAAGCGGUGGAGCAUGUGGUUUAAUUCGAUGCAACGCGAAGAACCUUACCUGGUCUUGACAUCCACAGAACUUAGCAGAGAUGGUUUGGUGCCUUCGGGAACUGUGAGACAGGUGCUGCAUGGCUGUCGUCAGCUCGUGUUGUGAAAUGUUGGGUUAAGUCCCGCAACGAGCGCAACCCUUAUCCUUUGUUGCCAGCGGUUAGGCCGGGAACUCAAAGGAGACUGCCAGUGAUAAACUGGAGGAAGGUGGGGAUGACGUCAAGUCAUCAUGGCCCUUACGACCAGGGCUACACACGUGCUACAAUGGCAUAUACAAAGAGAAGCGACCUCGCGAGAGCAAGCGGACCUCAUAAAGUAUGUCGUAGUCCGGAUUGGAGUCUGCAACUCGACUCCAUGAAGUCGGAAUCGCUAGUAAUCGUAGAUCAGAAUGCUACGGUGAAUACGUUCCCGGGCCUUGUACACACCGCCCGUCACACCAUGGGAGUGGGUUGCAAAAGAAGUAGGUAGCUUAACCUCG